UACGUAGGGUGCGAGCGUUAAUCGGAAUUACUGGGCGUAAAGCGUGCGCAGGCGGCCGCGCAAGUCGAGUGUGAAAUCCCCGAGCUUAACUUGGGAAUUGCGCUCGAAACUACGUGGCUGGAGUGUGGCAGAGGAAGGUGGAAUUCCACGUGUAGCGGUGAAAUGCGUAGAGAUGUGGAGGAACACCGAUGGCGAAGGCAGCCUUCUGGGCCAACACUGACGCUCAUGCACGAAAGCGUGGGGAGCAAACAGG
rnacentral:rRNA from 1 species